UACGGGGGGGACGAGCGUUGUUCGGAUUUACUGGGCGUAAAGGGCGCGUAGGCGGGCCUUCAAGUCGGAUGUGAAAUCUAACAGCUUAACUGUUAGCCUGCAUUCGAUACUGUUGGUCUUGAGUACAGUAGAGGAAAGCGGAAUUCCAGGUGUAGCGGUGAAAUGCGUAGAUAUCUGGAAGAACACCAGUAGCGAAGGCGGCUUUCUGGGCUGAUACUGACGCUAAAGCGCGAAGGCUUGGGUAGCAAACAGG
rnacentral:rRNA from 1 species